rnacentral:rRNA from 1 species
AUUGAACGCUGGCGGCAGGCCUAACACAUGCAAGUCGAGCGGAUGAAGGGAGCUUGCUCCUGGAUUCAGCGGCGGACGGGUGAGUAAUGCCUAGGAAUCUGCCUGGUAGUGGGGGAUAACGUCCGGAAACGGGCGCUAAUACCGCAUACGUCCUGAGGGAGCAAGUGGGGGAUCUUCGGACCUCACGCUAUCAGAUGAGCCUAGGUCGGAUUAGCUAGUUGGUGGGGUAAAGGCCUACCAAGGCGACGAUCCGUAACUGGUCUGAGAGGAUGAUCAGUCACACUGAAACUGAGACACGGUCCAGACUCCUACGGGAGGCAGCAGUGGGGAAUAUUGGGCAAUGGGCGAAAGCCUGAUCCAGCCAUGCCGCGUGGGUGAAGAAGGUCUUCGGAUUGUAAAGCACUUAAGUUGGGAGGAAGGGCAGUAAGUUAAUACCUUGCUGUUUUGACGUUACCAACAGAAUAAGCACCGGCUAACUUCGUG